AAUGAUUUCAAAUUAUUUAAAAUUGCAAACAAAUCUAGAAAGAUGUGGAAGUAAAUGGAAAACCACCAUUUAAAUGGAUCAAAGAAUAGCUAGAAUGGCAAAGACUCAGCCAGUGAUCAGCUCCAGGUUUCCUUAUUCCAAA